rnacentral:rRNA from 1 species
AACGAACGCUGGCGGCAUGCCUAACACAUGCAAGUCGAACGAGACCUUCGGGUCUAGUGGCGCACGGGUGCGUAACGCGUGGGAACCUGCCCUUAGGUUCGGAAUAACUCCCCGAAAGGGGUGCUAAUACCGGAUAAUGUCUUCGGACCAAAGAUUUAUCGCCUUUGGAUGGGCCCGCGUUGGAUUAGCUAGUUGGUAGGGUAAAAGCCUACCAAGGCGACGAUCCAUAGCUGGUCUGAGAGGAUGAUCAGCCACACUGGGACUGAGACACGGCCCAGACUCCUACGGGAGGCAGCAGUGGGGAAUAUUGGACAAUGGGCGGAGGCCUGAUCCAGCAAUGCCGCGUGAGUGAUGAAGGCCGUAGGGUAGUAAAGCUCUUUUACCCGGGAUGAUAAUGACAGUACCGGAAGAAUAAGCUCCGGCUAACUCCGUG